GCCGGAGUGGUGGAAUGGCAUACACGGUCGACUUAAAAUCGACUGCCUGAGAGGGCAUGCGGGUUCGAGUCCCGCCUUCGGCA
rnacentral:tRNA from 1 species